rnacentral:rRNA from 1 species
UACGUAGGGUGCAAGCGUUGUCCGGAAUUAUUGGGCGUAAAGAGCUCGUAGGUGGUUUGUCGCGUCUGCCGUGAAAGCCCGGGGCUUAACUCCGGGUCUGCGGUGGAUACGGGCAGACUAGAGGCAGGUAGGGGAGAACGGAAUUCCCGGUGUAGCGGUGAAAUGCGCAGAUAUCGGGAGGAACACCGGUGGCGAAGGCGGUUCUCUGGGCCUGUACUGACGCUCAUGCACGAAAGCGUGGGGAGCAAACAGG